AGCUGAAGAGUGCUCCUUAGCAUUUUCAUGGGUCAAGCUGGUCUCAAACACCUGGUUAUCCAGACAGGCUCCUGAGUGCCGAAAAGAUGAUACAACAGUAUUUGCCAAGGCCUGGAGGGUGCUGGAAGUGGUGCUGAGUAGCAGUUUCCUCCUGGAUCGAAACAUUCCAUCUCCCAGGGAAGCUUCUUAAGGCAGAAAGUAAAUAAAAUAUCUUCAGGAAGUUCCUGAAACCGGCCAGAUUUUCAAGGCUUCUCCUCAGAGUAAACCAUAGAGUGCUGAGAGUCACUCUCAGAAGAAAUAACCUGAAUAGAUAAGACGGAGACCAGAGCAGCAGUCUGGAAGAAGCAAAAACCAGCUGAGCUGUCUGGACAAGGUUUCAAACAACAGAGCCCCCUGGAACGGACACUUAACCUGUGGAGCUGCCUUCAGGCUGUGCAGUGAGCUUCAGGUGUCCAACUUUGAUGAGUUGUCACUCAUUCUGGGUGGGCUUUGAGUGACAAAGACUGUGAUGUAGCUGUCUUUGGGUCAUUUAUGCUCCUGUAAAUGACCUCUCACCAAUUAUGCUACAAGUAACCCCAAUAAAACUGAUUGGUUCACCAAA